rnacentral:rRNA from 1 species
GAGAAAUUUGGAUUAAUACCUUAUAGUAAUACGACUUGGCAUCAAGAUGUAUUUAAAGAUUUAUCGGUGAAAGAUGAGCAUGCGUCCCAUUAGCUAGUUGGUAAGGUAACGGCUUACCAAGGCAACGAUGGGUAGGGGUCCUGAGAGGGAGAUCCCCCACACUGGUACUGAGACACGGACCAGACUCCUACGGGAGGCAGCAGUGAGGAAUAUUGGACAAUGGGCGCAAGCCUGAUCCAGCCAUGCCGCGUGCAGGAUGACGGUCCUAUGGAUUGUAAACUGCUUUUAUACAGGAAGAAACAGUUCUACGUGUAGAACCUUGACGGUACUGUAAGAAUAAGGAUCGGCUAACUCCGUGCCAGCAGCCGCGGUAAUACGGAGGAUCCAAGCGUUAUCCGGAAUCAUUGGGUUUAAAGGGUCCGUAGGCGGUCAGAUAAGUCAGUGGUGAAAGCCCAUCGCUCAACGGUGGAACGGCCAUUGAUACUGUCUGACUUGAAUUAUUAGGAAGUAACUAGAAUAUGUAGUGUAGCGGUGAAAUGCUUAGAGAUUACAUGGAAUACCAAUUGCGAAGGCAGGUUACUACUAAUUGAUUGACGCUGAUGGACGAAAGCGUGGGUAGCGAACAGGAUUAGAUACCCUGGUAGUCCACGCCGUAAACGAUGGAUACUAGCUGUUGGGAGCAAUCUCAGUGGCUAAGCGAAAGUGAUAAGUAUCCCACCUGGGGAGUACGUUCGCAAGAAUGAAACUCAAAGGAAUUGACGGGGGCCCGCACAAGCGGUGGAGCAUGUGGUUUAAUUCGAUGAUACGCGAGGAACCUUACCAAG